UGAAGAUCAUUUUUGCUUUGGUUAUGUG
rnacentral:piRNA from 1 species